CCUACGGGAGGCAGCAGUGAGGAAUAUUGGACAAUGGGCGCAAGCCUGAUCCAGCCAUGCCGCGUGCAGGAAGACGGUCCUAUGGAUUGUAAACUGCUUUUAUACAGGAAGAAACACACCCUCGUGAGGGAGCUUGACGGUACUGUAAGAAUAAGGAUCGGCCAACUCCGUGCCAGCAGCCGCGGUAAUACGGAGGAUCCAAGCGUUAUCCGGAAUCAUUGGGUUUAAAGGGUCCGUAGGCGGUUUAAUAAGUCAGUGGUGAAAUCUGGUCGCUCAACGAUCAAACGGCCAUUGAUACUGUUAGACUUGAAUUAUAAGGAAGUAACUAGAAUAUGUAGUGUAGCGGUGAAAUGCUUAGAUAUUACAUGGAAUACCAAUUGCGAAGGCAGGUUACUACUUAUGGAUUGACGCUGAUGGACGAAAGCGUGGGGAGCGAACAGGAUUAGAUACCCUGGUAGUCCACGCCGUAAACGAUGGAUACUAGCUGUUCGGAGCAAUCUGAGUGGCUAAGCGAAAGUGAUAAGUAUCCCACCUGGGGAGUACGUUCGCAAGAAUGAAACUCAAAUGAAAUUGACCGG
rnacentral:rRNA from 1 species